GCUCAAGAGACCAAUGAACAACUCAAGAAACAGGUUGAAGAGCUGGAGCGACAGAAUAAGGAGCUGAAAGAGCAAACUGAAGAUCUCAAGAAGCGGAUUGAGGAACUUCAGAAGCAAAUUGAAGAACUCAAGCUAAACUCUGCUCAAAUUCUGGCCGCUGGAUUCGAAGCUGCACGGGAACAAUUUGCUUGCUUGUUCCCCGACCUGGAUCUCAGCAUGGUGUCGCUGGAUAAUGAAGUGGUGGAUGGAAAAAUGGUGCCCGCCGAAGACUGAUCAAUUUAAUUCAUCCAUCGCUUUCAUACUCU
rnacentral:lncRNA from 1 species